ensembl:misc_RNA Metazoa_SRP Metazoan signal recognition particle RNA
GCCAGGUGUGGUGGCGCGUGCCUGUAAUCCCAGCUACUCGGGAGGCUGAUGCAGGAGAAUUGCUUGAACCCAGGAGGCAGAGGUUGCAGUGAGCCAAUAUUGUGCCACUGCACUCCAGCCUGGGUGACAGAGCAAGACUCAGUCUCAA